rnacentral:rRNA from 1 species
CACGUAGGGCGCAAGCGUUGUCCGGAAUUAUUGGGCGUAAAGAGCUCGUAGGCGGUCUGUCGCGUCGAAUGUGAAAACCCGGGGCUCAACUCCGGGCUUGCAUUCGAUACGGGCAGGCUAGAGUUCGGUAGGGGAGUCUGGAAUUCCUGGUGUAGCGGUGAAAUGGCGCAGAUAUCAGGAGGAACACCGGUGGCGAAGGCGGGACUCUGGGCCGAUACUGACGCUGAGGAGCGAAAGCGUGGGGAGCGAACAGG